GUCCUCAUGGAGGAAUUAUGAGGUCUGACCUGCCCACUGACGGAAGUUUAAGGGCCGCGGUAUACUAACCGUGCGAAGGUAGCAUAGUCAAUAGUCUUUUAAUUGAAGGCUUGAAUGAAUGGUUGGACACGGAGAGAGCUGUCUCGGUCUGAAGUAGUGAAAUUAACUUUGGUGUGAAAAGGCAUUAAUGGUUUAGGGGGACGAUAAGACCCUAUAAAACUUGAUGGUUAGUUUAUCGGAUCUGUGAUUUGUGGUUAAAUAGGAUUGGGAAGUGAUCAUUGUGCUGGGGCGGCAGGAAUAUAAGUAGUAACUGUUUUAGAAACUGAAUAAUUAUAAUUAGAUUUUGACCCUGAAUUUUGGGUUAAAAGUGAAAGUUACUUUAGGGAUAACAGCGUUAUUUCUCUUGAGAGUUCAUAUCGACAGAGAUGUUUGCGACCUCGAUGUUGAAUUAAAGCUUUCUUUGGGAGUAGGAGUUCAUAGGAUAGGUCUGUUCGACCUUUAAAGUUUUACAUGAUUUGAGUUCAAACCGGUGUGAG
rnacentral:rRNA from 1 species